rnacentral:tRNA from 1 species
AAAAAUGAAACAAUUAUUUGUAAUCAGUUUCGACCUGAUCCUAAGGAGAAAUCCCAUUUUUA